GUGAUGGAUAUACAUCUUGCAUAUUGUCUGAUUUUAAUAUGUGGUUCUGAAAACUCUAAUCAGUGUCUGACAUUUUCUUGAGCAGGAGGAGUUCCAACUUGCUCUCUUCAGGAAUAGCAACCGAAAGAACCUUUUCGCCGAUCGGAUAUUUGAUCUGUUUGACCAGAAGCGCAAUGGUGUGAUUGAAUUAGAGGAGUUCGUUCGGUCUCUCCACAUUUUUCACCCGGAUACACCUACAGCCGAGAAGAUUGCAUACUAUAUGACCUGCGAGGCACCGGCAGCAUUGAACGUGAAGAGGAAAUGGUGCUUGCAAUCCUGAACGAAUCGGACCUGCCACUUAUGGUCAAACUGUGGAAAUC